rnacentral:rRNA from 1 species
AGAGUUUGAUCCUGGCUCAGAUUGAACGCUGGCGGCAUGCCUUACACAUGCAAGUCGAACGGNNACAGGUCUUCGGAUGCUGACGAGUGGCGAACGGGUGAGUAAUACAUCGGAACGUGCCCGAUCGUGGGGGAUAACGCAGCGAAAGCUGUGCUAAUACCGCAUACGAUCUACGGAUGAAAGCGGGGGAUCGCAAGACCUNGCGCGGACGGAGCGGCCGAUGGCAGAUUANGUAGUUGGUGGGAUAAAAGCUUACCAAGCCGACGAUCUGUAGCUGGUCUGAGAGGACGACCAGCCACACUGGGACUGANACACGGCCCAGACUCCUACGGGAGGCAGNAGUGGGGAAUUUUUGGACAAUGGGCGAAAGCCUGAUCCAGCCAUGCCGCNUGCAGGAUGAAGGCCUUCUGGUUUGUAAACUGCUUUUGUACGGAACGAAAAANUUUUCUCUAAUACAGGGGGCGAAUGACGGUAC